GAUGAACGCUGGCGGCGUGCUUAAUACAUGCAAGUCGAGCGAAAAGACGAUGAGUUUGCUCCUCUGACGUUAGCGGCGGACGGGUGAGUAACACGUGUAUAACCUACCUAUAUGACUGGGAUAAUCUCGGGAAACCGGAGCUAAUACCGGAUAACAUGCUGAACCGCAUGGUUCAACAGAGAAAGACGGUCUUGCUGUCACUUCUAGCUGGAUCUGCGCCGCAUUAGCUAGUUGGUAGGGUAACGGCCUACCACGGCGACGAUGCGUAGCCGACCUGAGAGAGUGAUCGGCGACACUGGAACUGGACCACGGUCCAGACUCCUGCGAGAGGCAGCAGUAGGCAAUCUGCGGCAGUAGGCGAGAACCUGACGGAGCGAGGCGACGUGUGUGAAAGCGGUCUUCGGAUCGUAAAACUCUGUUAUUGGGGAAAAACAGAUGUGUAAGUUACUAUACACGGCUUGACGGUAACGAAUCAGGAAGCCACGGCUAACUACGUG
rnacentral:rRNA from 1 species